GGUGCCUUUUCCUUUGGAGCUCAGCCCCAAACUGGAAACUCUCUGGACUGCUCCUGAGGGAGGCAAUGGGAACUGAGCACUGGGUCACCUGCCCAAGCACCACCUCACUCCAUGUGUUGCAUGUUCAGACUGUGAGGGACUGAAGCGUUGGUAAUGUGUUAAACAUGGCCAAAAUCAUAGAAAGACUUCUUGUCAAACUGCAAGGAAGCAACUGCCUGUCUGUGACCACUGAAGCCUGACUGGAAUUUGGACUGGGAAGCAGGACUUGAGGAAGGCCACUUACACAUGAGACAUUCACGUGAGAAGGGUCAUAAACCACCAAAGACCCCCCAAAGCAUCCCCCCAGCUCAUUCCUGAGGCAUUCCACCACCACAUGAUCCAAGGGAGGCAACAAAUCCAGAGCAUGCCUCAAGACACUGCAAAGCUUCCCUCCCACCCCCAGGGGAGGUGCCUGGAAUCCCCUGAACAGAUAUUUAUCCACUGGACUCUGUGUUUUGUGGGAACUUCACCAAGAAGACCAGAACAGCCAGACCCAGGGAACGCCGCCGGGUUCCAUGGAGUGAUGAUCCAUUUUCCACUGUAAUCUUUCUCUGUCACUUCUUUUCUUCCCCUGAACUCCUUUUCCUAUUUCCUUCUAUCUCUCUUUCUCUUCCCCACGUUUCCCAUUAAAUAAAACCCGUGCUACAGACUUUG